GCAGGUGCGGUGGCGCAUACCUGUAGUCCCAGCUACUCGGGAGGCUGAGGUGGGAGGAUCGCUGAGCCAGGAGUCUGGGCUGUAGUGCGCUGUGCUGAUCCGGUGUCACACUAAGUUCAGCAUCAAUAUGGUGACCUCCUGGGAGCGGGGGACCACCAGGUUACCUAAGGAGGGGUGAACCGGCCCAGGCUGGAAACGGAGCAGGUCAAAACUCCCGUGCUGAUCAGCAGUGGGAUCGCGCCUAUGAAUAGCCACUGCACUCCAGCCUGGGCAACAUAGCGAGACCCUGUCUCUA
rnacentral:SRP_RNA from 1 species